rnacentral:rRNA from 1 species
AUUGAACGCUGGCGGCAUGCCUAACACAUGCAAGUCGAACGAGUGGCGGACGGGUGAAUCAUGUCUAGAACAUUCCCUUAUGGCUGGGGAUACCUCCUGGAAACGGUACCUAAUCCCUCAUACCAUUCACUUUUACCUGAUGGGAUUAGCUUGUUGGUGGGGUAACGGCUCACCAAGGCCACGAUCCCUAGCUGGUCUGAGAGGAUGACCAGCCACACUGGAACUGAGACACGGUCCAGACUCCUACGGGAGGCAGCAGUGGGGAAUAUUGCACAAUGGGCGCAAGCCUGAGGCAGCCAGGCCGCGUGUAUGAAGAAGGCCUUCGGGUUGUAAAGUACUGUCAGCAGGGAGGCGGUACCCGCAGAAGAAGCAACGGCUAACUACGUGCCAGCAGCCGCGGUAAUUC